GCUGCAUGAGUGUUUGUAGCUUGCUAGUCUGCUUAGCAUUGCUUAUUCUUAUACAUUCAUCGUUUUAUCCUUUGCCAUUUUACUGCGUGCUUCGGGUUUUUCCGCUUUUCUACUGUUUCAACUGUGUGUAUUUUACCGCAUGCACCUGUUUUCUUUCUUUUUCUCUUUUCCCGCUUGUCUACAUCUCGUGUCUCAACUGUGUGCAUUAGUUUUCUCCACUGUAUUUUACAUUGAUGAUUGCAUCAAUCUCAAACCUCUGCUGAUCAGGAACAACAUCAAACCACAUCGAUCUCAAACCCUCUCCGCUCAAGAACAACCAUAACAACAACAACAACAAACAAUUGCGGUUCUCCUCUUAUGACCACCUGAUGCGGUUUUGGCAGCUCAUUGAACCAUCACUGCAAUUCAUGGUUUGAGUUUCCAGAGCAAGAACUACAAACAGUGACUGCAAAAAGUGCUGUCAUGUCUUUACAGCCAAUAGAUGAACUGUUCCUCUUCCUGAACUACCUUGCCCUUGGACUGAAGCAGAGGGACCUGGCUGAUCGGUAUGGGGUCCAUCAAUCUACCGUCAACAGGAUCAUCCUUACAUGGAGCAGUUUUUUGUUCUGUAUUCUUGGCUCACAGCGAAUUUGGAUGCCCCAACACAAAAUUAAUGAGCAUUUGCCAGUAGAGUUCAGAGAUUAUGCAGACACUACCGUAAUCCUGGAAUGCACAGAGCUCAGAUGCCAAACACCUACCUCUCCUUUGCUCCAAAGUGAAGUGUAUUCAAACUACAAGUCCCACUGCACCCUGUAGGGAAUGAUUGGCAUGGCCCCCCAUGGUGCUAUAACCUUUGUUUCUCCCCUCUUUGCUGGCUCAGAAAGUGACAAGCAGAUCUUUGCAGAGUCAGGAAUACUUACAUUACUUAGGCAGGAUAUGGCAAUAAUGGUGGACAGAGGCUUUCUUGUGGAUGACUGUGUGCCCUGUAAAGUGUACAGGCCUGCAUUUCUUUCUGGGAGUCCUCAGAUGCCAGCACAUGAGGUCAAGGAGACCCAGGCUAUUGCACAUCUGAGAGUGCAUGUUGAGCGCCUUAUUCGCCAUUUAAAGGAACACAAAUUCUUUGACACGGUCAUCCCCUUAAAUAUGUUUGGUAACAUUAACCAGCUCUAAGUAGUUGCAUGCCUUCUGUUAAAUUACCAGAGUGGCCCACUUGUAAAAGCUUGGUCUAAAUAGAGGCAUCAAGACCAGUGCGCAGUUCUGUUUAGUGUUUAAACUAUUUUACUGUUGUUAGCUACUGCUAUUGUUACAUGAUAAAGAAUGGAUUUACAUCUCUACAACUUCAUACAGGGAUCUGUAUUUUUCCCUCAUUUUCAGUUUCAUGCUUCCAGUGAAUAAACCUACAUUUGUUUGUAACUGCCUUUUUUUAAAUGGCUCCCCAAAGCAUUGUGUAUUUUGUUGUGCUUCAUUACAAACAGCAUUUAAACAAUACUAUUUUUAGGUACUGAGUUAUAACCUCAA